rnacentral:rRNA from 1 species
GACGAACGUUGGCGGCGUGCUUAAUACAUGCAAGUCAACUGAAGCAGUGGUAGCAAUAUCGCUGUGGAGGUGGCGCACGGGUGAGUAACACGUAGGUAAUCUGCCUUCAGGUCUGGCAUAACUCCGGGAAACCGGGGCUAAUAGCAGAUGAUGCAGCGGCUCGACAUCGAGACAGUUGUUAAAGCUAUGGCGCCUGAAGAUGAGCCUGCGUCUGAUUAGCUAGUUGGCGGGGUAACGGCCCACCAAGGCAACGAUCAGUAGCUGGUCUGAGAGGAUGAUCAGCCACACUGGAACUGAGACACGGUCCAGACUCCUACGGGAGGCAGCAGUAAGGAAUAUUGCUCAAUGGGAGAAAUCCUGAAGCAGCAACGCCGCGUGAGGGACGAAGGGCUUUGGCUUGUAAACCUCUGUAGUGAGAGAAAAAAAUCCCAAUCUUUGGGACAUGAUGGUAGCUCAAAAGUAAGCCCCGGCUAACUACGUG